rnacentral:rRNA from 1 species
GUGAACGCUGGCGGUAGGCCUAACACAUGCAAGUCGAACGGCAGCACAGUAAGAGCUUGCUCUUACGGGUGGCGAGUGGCGGACGGGUGAGGAAUACAUCGGAAUCUACUAUUUCGUGGGGGAUAACGUAGGGAAACUUACGCUAAUACCGCAUACGACCUACGGGUGAAAGCAGGGGAUCUUCGGACCUUGCGCGAUUGAAUGAGCCGAUGUCGGAUUAGCUAGUUGGCGGGGUAAAGGCCCACCAAGGCGACGAUCCGUAGCUGGUCUGAGAGGAUGAUCAGCCACACUGGAACUGAGACACGGUCCAGACUCCUACGGGAGGCAGCAGUGGGGAAUAUUGGACAAUGGGCGCAAGCCUGAUCCAGCCAUACCGCGUGGGUGAAGAAGGCCUUCGGGUUGUAAAGCCCUUUUGUUGGGAAAGAAAAGCAGCAGGUUAAUACCCCGCUGUUCUGACGGUACCCAAAGAAUAAGCACCGGCUAACUUCGUG